rnacentral:rRNA from 1 species
UACGUAGGUGGCAAGCGUUGUCCGGAUUUACUGGGCGUAAAGAGCGCGCAGGCGGUCUGUUAAGUGCACAAGUGAAAGCUCCGGGCUCAACUCGGAAAUUGCUUUGCAUACUGGCAGGCUGGAGGGACGCAGAGGUCUGUGGAAUUCCUGGUGUAACGGUGAAAUGUGUUGAUAUCAGGAGGAACACCCAUGGCGAAGGCAGCAGACUGGGCGUUUCCUGACGCUGAGGCGCGAAAGCGUGGGUAGCAAACAGG